rnacentral:rRNA from 1 species
GACGAACGCUGGCGGCGUGCUUAACACAUGCAAGUCGAACGGAAAGGCCCUGCUUUUGUGGGGUGCUCGAGUGGCGAACGGGUGAGUAACACGUGAGUAACCUGCCCUUGACUUUGGGAUAACUUCAGGAAACUGGGGCUAAUACCGGAUAGGAGCUCCUGCUGCAUGGUGGGGGUUGGAAAGUUUCGGCGGUUGGGGAUGGACUCGCGGCUUAUCAGCUUGUUGGUGGGGUAGUGGCUUACCAAGGCUUUGACGGGUAGCCGGCCUGAGAGGGUGACCGGCCACAUUGGGACUGCGAUACGGCCCAGACUCCUACGGGGGGCAGCAGUGGGGAAUAUUGCACAAUGGGCGGAAGCCUGAUGCAGCAACGCCGCGUGCGGGAUGCCGGCCUUCGGGUUGUAAACCGCUUUCGCCUGUGACGAAGCGUGAGUGACGGUAAUGGGUAAAGAAGCACCGGCUAACUACGUG